ACGAGACGGACACGGCAAACGCGACGGCGGCCGAGAUCCGCGCCGCCGCGUUCGACGAGGGAGCCGGGGCACGCAAGCUAGCCUACCGAGAGACUGAUUCGGAGAUGGGCGGGAUGCGGGCCAGCGGCGCGGCAGCGUCGUGGGUUGUGGGAGGAGGCGCACCUCUACGGCAACCGGGACGGCGCCGCCAUCCCGGCGCUCCUCGACUCCCGCUUCGACGGCGACAAGCUCGACGCGCUCAAGAACCUUUUCGCCCUCAUCUCUCAGGGCGUCUACGUCGCCCACCUCUCCCCGCAGGUGGUCAAGAACUUGGCGGCGUAGUCGAUUGAGGUGAAGAGAAGCUCGUCUACCUGCUCCGGCUAGCGUUCCCCUCCUCUCGUCUCGUCUCGUCUCAUCUCACCUCAAGCAAUUACGUGCGUGCUUGCAAGAAGCUCGUCAAGAACGUGAUGGCGCAGUCGCUUGAAGAAGCUCGCCUCAUCUACCUCUACCUGCUCCACUGCCAGAGUUGCCUGCAGUGCAAAUUUUCUUUCCUGUUGGUGACAUGGAAUGUUUGAUCCAGUGGGUUUCUCAAGAGUCAUGAGCUCAAGUAUCCUCUAGGUGACUUGCAACUCUUGUUUGACCUAGCAUUUAGUAAACUAAAUUCUUUCUGAGUAACAUGUAUGCUGAUAAUAGUGAGUGUAAACUGAAGAGACUCAAACACUUAAUGUACAAACAGUUGUCGUUCUUAAAUUUUGUAGCACUGUAGUACUAGGAUGUUUGUUGAAGUGGUGGACACAUGUGGCAGGAUGUGGGACAUCCGCGGGUUAUCCCACAUACAGGCUGCUGAGUCUCUGAGCAAGCGAAGCGAGAUGGUGUUAAGCCAGGCAUACCAUACCGACGUUCGCCUGGACACUUUUUUAGUCGGUCGCAUGGGCUUGGAGCUUGCAUCACGGAGCCACGGAGGGUUAUGUAAUACAGUAGUGUCGCGCACAUUAUUCCUGUGCUUUGUUAUCCGUUUUUCACUGUGUCACAUGAUAUUGUUCCGUUGUUCUUUUUCCAAUUUCUUUCCUUGGUUAUUUUGUUUUUUAUUUAUUUUCUUUGCUUUUUUCAAGACGUGUCUAGUUCUUCUUACACACACUGUAUGUUUUCUUAUACAUCAGGACUAUUUAACCCUAACAUUUUAGAUAUAUGAUUACCAUUUUUUCAAA